rnacentral:misc_RNA from 1 species
AGCAGCCACGGUAAUUCCAGCUCCAAUAGCGUAUAUUAAAGUUGUUGCAGUUAAAAGCUUGUAGUUGAAUUUCGGGAUUGACACAUCAGUCGUGCCUUAAGGGGUAUGAACUGGUGUAGUCAAUUUCUCACCUUCUGGAGAACUGUGAUGCCCUUAAUUGGGUGCCAGGACCUUUACUUUGAAAAAUUGAGUGUUUAAAGCAGCAUUUUGCUUGGAUACAUUAGCAUGGAAUAAUAAAAUAGGAUGGCAUGAUUCUAUUUUGUUGGUU